ensembl:lncRNA
AAAACUGAAACUCCAUACUCUUUAAACAAUAACUCCCCAUCUCCUCUCUCCCAACAUCUGGCAACUAUCCUUCUACUGUCUCUGUGAAUUUGAGUGCCCCAGGUACUCCAUAUAUUGUGGAAUCAUGUAAUAAUUUGCUUGUGUGUGUGUGUGUGUGAGAGAGAGAGAGAGAGAGAGACUAGCUUGCUAGGUUCAUCCACAUUGUAGCAUGUGUCAGAAUUUCCUGUGUUCUUAAGACUGAAUAACAUUCUGCUGCAUGGUUGGACCACAUUUUGUUUAGAUGUCCAUCUGUCGGUGGUGCUUGGUUGCUUCCACCUCUGGGCUGUUGUGAAUAGUGUCAUGAUGAGCAUGGUUGUGCACGGAUUUCUUGGAGAUCAGGUCACUUCUUUUAAUUGAUAAACGUGGGAUAAUAAUAGCUGCUCUUCUGUCUACCUCCCGAGGAUUAUUUGGAGGAUAAGAUUGUGAGUGUGUGCUGAGUCCUCUGUGAGUAUAAAGGACCGUCUAAUGGGGGGAGGGGUCAUUAUAGUCCUUUCAUCAUCAACCUUGACUGGCAAGAGUCAGCUUUCACCAGGAGGAACCAAGCUGGGGUAUUUUCCUUAAUCCUAACCCUGGGAGGGACUUCAUUUGGCAGAAGAGGAAACUGAUCUGGAUCCUAGUAAAGGGGUUGGCUUAGAGGGCAUCCGACUCUAUGCCGUUUCUGUUUAUUUCCCGAAUAGGAUCAAGCAGGCAGAACUUGGCUCAUUUCUAACCAAGGGACCUGUGGCUGGUGGUGGGCCGUUUUCUCCCAAAGCAAAGGCUUGGUUCCCACAUUCCACCCAGUCGUGAUGGGCCACCUUGUGGGAGCCCCUGGAGGGCUGGGCAGCCUUUCCCCACUUCCCUGCCUUGUCCAGUGCCUUGGCUUCCAGGAGGCGCCACAGGCCAUGUCCUGAGGGUCAUUUGGAACCUCUCCUGUCCCCAGGCUCUGCUCCAUGCCCAGAGCUGGCCCACCGCCCUGUGGGAACAUGACUGUGGUUUCCGCUGAACCUCCAGUGGUUUUUCCGAGGGCUCUGUCACCACUCCUCCCUCAUCCUGGGUCUCAGCACUGUGCUCAUCCUACUCCUGGAAGACUGCUGCCUACAGAUGCUCCAGCAUUAGAACUUCAUCCUGGAACAGUUCAUUAUUGCCUUGCUGGGACCUGGCAUGCAGCCUCCACUUGGCAGUUUCUCCUUGGGGGCCAAAGUCCGAGGUUCACCCCUCUUGUAGCACAUACAUUUUGCUGUCUUUCCACUCAUCUCCCAUACUGGGCUGUGAACUUCCUGGGGCAGAGGUGGUGUCCCCAGGUGCCCAGCAGUACUCUGGGACAGAGCACAGGUUCAGUGAAUGUUUGCUGUGGGAAUGCACUUCUCCUUUACUAGAUUGUACUCUCCAGGGCAGGGCCCAUGAGUCAGGAAUCACCUUCACUUCCUUCUCCAUCCCCCGCAUCCGGCGUAGUGCCUGGUACACAGCCAGGGCCCAGGAAAUGAUUGACUGAGUAGAUGAAUACAUGAAUGAAUCAUGAAGCCGGAAGCUCUGUGCAUUUGCACAGGCUGGGUGGGACUGGGCAGGGCUGCAGUCUGGAUCUUGCUGCCACAUCCUCAGAUGUUGUGUCUGAGGACAGACAGUGGGUCACGGGCUGUAUGGGUGGCGCUGAGGUGGGGGAGCCCUUAGGUGGGAGAAGGUGUGCAGCUUCUGCUAAUCAUAGCUCUGCCUGCCCUGGCUCCGUGCUCUCUGCAACUGCUGGAGCUGGCACAGAGUGUGGCUGUGGCUGUGAACCUUCUUUAAGUCUUACCUUCCUGCUUAAAUGCCCUGAAAGUCUAAAAUUCCUAGUCUUCCACAAUGUCAUCCAAAUCUGUGUUUCAGCAUUUCUUUCCCUCUUCCAACUCUUUUCUUCAAACAAGCUAAACAGACCACUGGCUGUUCUCCAUGUGUCUGGCUUGUUUCCUGGCAGCAUACCAGAAUUUACUGCCCGGACCCUGGGCUUCUUGAAUGGGCUGUAGAGCCCAGGUCACCUGCCCAGUCGUGGCUCACGGGUGGCCAGCAGAAUGGACCAUCCACCUCAGGGCCUGUAGCUUUGCUCUGAAUUCUGAGGUCCAUGCCGGCCCUUCUCCAUCUGCCAAGGGUCAGCAGAACAGCUUCUUGGCAGGGGUUUCUACUUCUUAAUCUAUUUUCACAACCUGUGAUUGAACCCUGUGCAAUGAAGGCCUCAGAAUUUAGUGGCCUCUUUUAAUUCUCUAUUAUUGAUGAAAAUUUUUGGUCUGGAAAGAAAAGCUGGCUUUGGGAUUGAUUUUCAUCCGUUUAAUUCAUCUUCGGUAUUGAUCGGUACAUAUGUUAGGGGGAAGGACAACAUCUGGGCUGUUCCAGCUGGAUAGGGAGUGUUCUUACAGUGUCUGUGUGCAGGGGCAGUUGUGGGACUUCUGUCCCCUUCUCGCAUGUCCCACUUUCUGCGUUGUACAGCAGUCCUUCCCAAGCUGGUCUCCUCCCCCCAUUUGUCUGUGGGUCCUAGUGGGCAGGCUGUGCCUCUGAAUUACCCUUCUAACCCCUCCCAGACCCAACGCAGUACCUAGCACGUAGCUGACUCUCAGCCAGCGCGUGUUAAGCACAUUUGUUUAAACGCAGCCUCCAGAGUUCCUGACAGCCCUUAGGUUCUCCUCAUCAGGAGGGAAUCCCAACACUCAGAUCAUGCCGGCGUGCGCGAGUUCCGUAGGGACUGGGAUUCUGGGGAAGGUACCGGAUAUCAAUCACACAAGCUGAUGAAUGAUUACCCUUCUUACGAAAAUACCAACAGGACCCUGACUCACAGUGCGCCAGUCGCAGCGCAUGGCGGCAACUCCAGCAGAUGGGUCCAGGCACAAUUCAUGUGUCUGGCCACAGCCAUCCCGCCUCUGACUACCAGCAUCCCUCCCACACCACCCUGAUACUCACAUGCAUCGCCUGGUAGGUAGGGACCACUGUCCCUGUGCCCAGAGUCCUGGGGGCAGAGUGGAGGUCUGGGCGGGAUUUAGGGUUCUCUGCCUCCUCUCUCCACUCUGCACUGGGCUCUUGGCUCCACCAGCCCACCUUGUAUCUCAGGGCGCACCUUAGGCAAGUCCCAUGACCUCUCUCUGAGCUUCCAGCCCCCCCUUGUGAAAGUGGCUGUUGAGAUUGGUCCCUGCCUCUGUGGUGGGACCAAUCACCUCCCUGCGAGGAGGUGGUGCACGUGCCAGGCCGGCACUGGUUGUAAAGGGUACUUGUCAUCACUGAUGUCAGUUAACUGGGUGUUGGAGGAUUAAGUGGAGGCAUGGCCACCGUGGAGAGCUCGUGGCUUCUAGGGAAACAGAUUUUUGGGUUCAAACAACUAACUCACAAACUGACUUUCAGACACAGUGUGUUAAAAAAUGAAGUGCUUUCUUUGUAUUCAUUUUGGCAAUGUGUUUCUGUCUUAAUCUUCUACUACAUUUCCAGCUGUCUGGAGAAAUGUUACAUCUAGUCUGACUUUCUUGGUAUGAUGCCUAUGUUAGGAAAGAAGUGUGAACACCCUGUGGUGUCACAGAGAGGGCGUUCAUGUGUUUCAUUGUCUGGUGGAAAGGGUGUUUGGCUACCUAACAUUUCCUUUUUGUAUCCACACCCUGACCUUGGGCCUUGUGUUAGUCAGCUAGGACUGAAUAACAAAGUACCACAGUCUGGCUUCAAGGACAGAUGUUUGUUUUCUCAGUUUUGGAGUCUAGAAGUUCAAGAUCAAGGUUGGUUUCUCCUGAGGCCUCUCUCCUGGGCUUGUAGAUGGCUGUCUUCUCUCUCUGUGUGUCUGUAUCCUAAUCUCCUAAUCCUUCUUGUGAGGACACCAGUCAUAUGGGAUUAGGGCCCACUCACAUGAUCUCAUUUAACCUUAAUCACCUCCUUAAAGACCCCGUCACCCCCAGUCCAGUGCUUGGUGUUAGGAACUUCGGCAUCUGAAUUGGGGCGUGUGACACAAUUUAGCCCAUACAGCAGGGCUUAUCCUUGUCUUUAUUAGUAUUCCUUCCAUACCUCCAAGGCCCUAACUACUGACCCAUGGACUCUUAAGGCAGCUGGACCUACCGCCUGAGAACAGGCACCCAGUCUCUCUAUGGUGUCCAGCCAGGACCCAAUGUGGAGAACAUGGACAUGGGUUUUCAUGCACACACUUUUGCUUGUACACGAUCCAAUGUGUGAGAUGAACUUGCCAGGGAGAGGUGGGCACCCCUGCGUCACUCAGGCUUCAGUGCUGUGCUCUCGUCAUAGCUGUGCCCCUGCAUGCCAGUGACUGUCGAGCUUCUUGGGAUGGCUCCCAUGACUGGUUGGUUGAUGCAUUUACUCACUUUUUGGAUGUCUUUGCCCUCCACAUGCUCUUAGUCUAGUAGGUUCAUCAGGAGAAACUAGAGGCAGUGGGCAGAAAGGCGGAAGGUUUCUUUCCAUCUUGGUCCUUGGGAGGUCUUGGGCAAGCCACUUUGUCACUGGUUGCCAACCCAUAAAACAGGGGUCUUUCCUCUGAGCGUCAUACAAGGAUGGCAAGAAGAUCAAAUGGAGUCACGUGCAUGAACAUGUUUUGUAAACUGGAAAGUGCUGUAUGAAUGUGAGGAACCAUUGUGUUCCCACCAUUUAUCCUGAGCUCCUGCUGUGUUUUCCCUUUGGGGUCUAGCAGUGAGGUGCUGCCCUGUUUAGGAUGGGACUGGCUUAGAGAGCAGCCGGGAGGGGAACCUCUUCACUCCAUCACCUGUUUUUAUUUUUGUUUUAUGACCAUCACCACCACCCCAACUUGCCAUUCUCUGAUCUUCUAGCCCUCCCAGAAAGAGGUCCUAAAUCCUCAUAAUUGUCUGUUAUAUAUAUGUGAAAUC